GCACUCACCUAUCCACUAAACAGCAACUUCAAUGUUGAAAGAUUUUAAAAUCUUUCAACAUUGAAGUUGCUGUUUAGUGGAUAGGUGAGUGC